rnacentral:rRNA from 1 species
UACGUAGGUGGCAAGCGUUGUCCGGAUUUAUUGGGUUUAAAGGGUGCGUAGGCGGUCCUAUAAGUCAGUGGUGAAAUCUCUUCGCUUAACGAAGAAACUGCCAUUGAUACUGCAGAUCUUGAGUACAGUUGCCGUUGGCGGAAUAUGACAUGUAGUGGUGAAAUACUUAGAUAUGUCAUAGAACACCGAUUGCGAAGGCAGCUAACGAAGCUGUAACUGACGCUGAGACGCGAAAGCGUGGGGAGCAAACAGG